CCGCGGUACCCUGACCGUGCUAAGGUAGCAUAAUCCCUUGCCUCUUAAUUGGUGGCCAGUAUGAAUGGAUACACGAAAAUCUAACUGUCUCUAUGGAUCUACUAAAAAUUAUCCUUCAAGUGAAGAGACUUGAAUCCUAAUAAAAGACAAGAAGACCCUGUAGAGCCUAAAUCAACGUUAAGCCUCUUUAAUAAAUUAAAACACAUUUACCUAACAACAUUUCAGUUGGGGCGACUAGGGAACAACCAAACCUUCCCCAUAUCAAAAGGCCUUUACGCCUACACUAAUGACCCAUACCACAUGAUCAAGAAACUAGGCUACCUCAGGGAUAACAGUUUAAUCUUCCUCAAGAGCCCGUAUUGACAGGAAGGAUUGACACCUCGAUGUUGGCUUAGGAAUACUCUAGGGUGAAGCCGCCCUAAGAGCAGGUUUGUUCAACCUUUAAUCUCCUACGUGAUCU
rnacentral:rRNA from 1 species